rnacentral:rRNA from 1 species
AGAGUUUGAUCAUGGCUCAGAGCGAACGCUGGCGGCAGGCCUAACACAUGCAAGUCGAACGCCCCGCAAGGGGAGUGGCAGACGGGUGAGUAACGCGUGGGAACAUACCCUUCGGUUCGGAAUAACUCAGGGAAACUUGGGCUAAUACCGGAUACGUCCGUGAGGAGAAAGAUUCAUCGCCGAAGGAUUGGCCCGCGUAAGAUUAGCUAGUUGGUGAGGUAACGGCUCACCAAGGCUAUGAUCUUUAGCUGGUCUGAGAGGACGAUCAGCCACACUGGGACUGAGACACGGCCCAGACUCCUACGGGAGGCAGCAGUGGGGAAUAUUGGACAAUGGGCGCAAGCCUGAUCCAGCCAUGCCGCGUGAGUGAUGAAGGCCUUAGGGUUGUAAAGCUCUUUCGGCGGGGACGAUAAUGACGGUACCCGCAGAAGAAGCCCCGGCUAACUUCGUGCCAGCCGCCGCGGUAAUACA